GGGAAUGCAGCCCAAAAUGGGUGGUAAACUCCAUCUAAAGCUAAAUAUUGGCACGAGACCGAUAGCGAACAAGUACCGUGAGGGAAAGAUGAAAAGCACUUUGAAAAGAGAGUUAAAAAGUACGUGAAACCGUUAAAAGGGAAACGAAUGGGGUUAGCAAUGCGUCGUGCGAGAUUCAGCCGGUGGGUGGGCCAGGCGGGCGGUUGGCGGAUCUGAAUGGACCGCUGCCGUUCGGGUUGGUUUCCCGACCGUCGCACUUCUCGCAGGCGCGCGCCAACGUCGGUUAGGGCUGGGUUUCAAAGGCGGUGGAAAGGUAGGUUUGGACUCUCGGGCCCGAACUGUUACAGUCCUCCGUUUGUCAUGGCCCGGACCUGACCGAGGAGCUUGCGGUGCAUGCCGUUUGGCUAGGGUCCCGUCUUCCCGGUCGGUCGUCGAAUGCGGUGGACUGCAUGCAGUGCGCCGCGACUGCUGCCGGUCGCGAGGGCGUGAUUUCGUACUAUGCACCCACGACGUUGGCGACCAUAUGGCCUCAUCCGACCCGUCUUGAAACACGGACCAAGGAGUCUAACAUGUGUGCGAGUCUUUGAGUGAUCGAAACUCCGAGGCGAAAUGAAAGUGAAGGCGACUUCGGUCGCUGAGGUGAGAGCCUUUUACAAAAAAAGGAGCAUCAUUGACCUACCUAUUCUAUUCUUAGAAAGGUUUGAGUAAGAGCGCAUCUGUUGGGACCCGAAAGAUGGUGAACUAUGCCUGAAUAGGGUGAAGCCAGAGGAAACUCUGGUGGAGGCUCGUAGCGAUUCUGACGUGCAAAUCGAUCGUCAAAUUUGGGUAUAGGGGCGAAAGACUAAUCGAACUGUCUAGUAGCUGGUUCCCUCCGAAGUUUCCCUCAGGAUAGCUGGAACUUACGGCAGUUUUAUCAGGUAAAGCGAAUGAUUAGAGGUCUUAGGGUUAAAACAACCUUAACCUAUUCUCAAACUUUAAAUUGGUAAGAAGUCCGACUUGCUUAAUUGAAGCCGGACAGUGAAUGCGAGUUCCUAGUGGGCCAUUUUUGGUAAGCAGAACUGGCGAUGCGGGAUGAACCGAACGCGCGGUUAAGGUGCCAAAGUCGACGCUCAUCAGACCCCACAAAAGGUGUUGGUUGCUCUAGACAGCAGGACGGUGGCCAUGGAAGUUGGAAUCCGCUAAGGAGUGUGUAACAACUCACCUGCCGAAGCAACUAGCCCUGAAAAUGGAUGGCGCUCAAGCGUCGCACCUAUACCGUGCCGUCGGAGCAGAUGCGAAGCUCCGACGAGUAGGAGGGCGUGGGGGUUGUGACGCAGCCUCUGGCGCGAGCCUGGGUGAAACGGCCUCCAGUGCAGAUCUUGGUGGUAGUAGCAAAUAUUCAAAUGAGAGCUUUGAAGACCGAAGUGGAGAAAGGUUCCAUGUGAACAGCAGCUGGACAUGGGUUAGUCGAUCCUAAGAGAUAGG
rnacentral:ncRNA from 1 species